rnacentral:lncRNA from 1 species
AAGUAAGUUAUAUGUGUGUGUGUGUGUGUGUGUGUUAUACGUAUCUUCAGUUUAUAAAUUUUUGAAUGAAUCUAAAUAAAUUAAAAAUAUACUGAAUUAUGUGUUCUUGCAAUGCAACAAGAUAUGAUUUUUUUUUGAAAAACUUCAAAUACACCCUAUGUGGUUUUACACUUUCCCACUUUAGUAUUCUGUGGUUUAAAAUAUAUCAAGUUAGUAUCCUGUGGUUUCGCACUUUCUCACUUUAGUAUCCUGUGGUUUAAUAUUUCGUUAAAUUAUAUAUUUCGAAAUGGAUAAUAAAAAAAAACUUAAAACCACAAGGUACUAAAUUGAUAAAAAAAUAAAAUCACAGAGUACUAACUUGAUGCGCUUGAAACCACAAGAUAUUAAAGUGAAAAAGUGCGAAACCAUAAGGGGGCAUUUGAAGUUUCC